GUUAUUUUGGCAGAUUAGUGCGUUAAAUUUAGAAUUUAAUUAUGUAGAUAUUACAAAUAAUA
rnacentral:tRNA from 1 species